rnacentral:rRNA from 1 species
UACGAACUGUGCGAACGUUAUUCGGAAUUACUGGGCGUAAAGCGCGCGUAGGCGGCUUUGUAAGUUAGAGGUGAAAGCCCAGGGCUUAACCCUGGAAUUGCCUUUAAGACUGCAUCGCUAGAAUCGUGGAGAGGUGAGUGGAAUUCCGAGUGUAGAGGUGAAAUUCGUAGAUAUUCGGAAGAACACCAGUGGCGAAGGCGACUCACUGGACACGUAUUGACGCUGAGGUGCGAAAGCGUGGGGAGCAAACAGG